rnacentral:rRNA from 1 species
GGAGGAAAGCAGGGGAUCGAAAGACCUCGUGCUUUGAGGGUGGCCGAUGUCUGAUUAGCUAGUUGGUAGGGUAAAGGCCUACCAAGGCGACGAUCAGUAGCUGGUCUGAGAGGACGAUCAGCCACACUGGGACUGAGACACGGCCCAGACUCCUACGGGAGGCAGCAGUGGGGAAUUUUGGACAAUGGGCGAAAGCCUGAUCCAGCCAUGCCGCGUGAGUGAAGAAGGCCUUCGGGUUGUAAAGCUCUUUCGGUCGGAAAGAAAUAUCUAUAAAAAAUAUUUAUAGAGGAUGACGGUACCGACAUAAGAAGCACCGGCUAACUACGUGCCAGCAGCCGCGGUAAUACGUAGGGUGCAAGCGUUAAUCGGAAUUAUUGGGCGUAAAGGGUGCGCAGGCGGUGCUGUAAGUCAGAUGUGAAAUCCCCGGGCUUAACCUGGGAACUGCGUUUGAAACUACAAAGCUAG